rnacentral:rRNA from 1 species
UAGUCCACGCCGUAAACGAUGAUUACUCGCUGUAGGCGAUACACAGUCUGUGGCUAAGCGAAAGUUUUAAGUAAUCCACCUGGGGAGUACGAUCGCAAGAUUGAAACUCAAAGGAAUUGACGGGGGCCCGCACAAGCGGUGGAGCAUGUGGUUUAAUUCGAUGCAACGCGAAGAACCUUACCAUCCCUUGACAUCCAGAGAAUCUGUUAGAGAUAGUAGAGUGCCUUCGGGAACUCUGAGACAGGUGCUGCAUGGCUGUCGUCAGCUCGUGUUGUGAAAUGUUGGGUUAAGUCCCGCAACGAGCGCAACCCUUAUCCUUAUUUGCCAGCGGGUUAUGCCGGGAACUCUAGGGACACUGCCGGUGAUAAACCGGGNGGAAGGUGGGGACGACGUCAAGUCAUCAUGGCCCUUACGGGGAUGGGGCUACACACGUGCUACAAUGGCAAAUACAAAGGGGCAGCUAACUCGCGAGAGUAUGCGAAUCUUCUAAAGUUUGU